AGUCGAACGGUAACAGGGAGGAGCUUGCUCCUCUGCUGACGAGUGGCGCACGGGUGCGUAACGCGUAUACAACCUACCUUGUACUGGGGUAUAGCCCAGGGAAACUUGGAUUAACACCCCAUAGUAACAUAUUUUGGCAUCCUUAUAUGUUUAAAACUACGGUGGUACAAGAUGGGUAUGCGUCCCAUUAGCUUGUUGGUGUGGUAACGGCACACCAAGGCUACGAUGGGUAGGGGCCCUGAGAGGGGGAUCCCCCACACUGGUACUGAGACACGGACCAGACUCCUACGGGAGGCAGCAGUGAGGAAUAUUGGACAAUGGGCGAGAGCCUGAUCCAGCCAUGCCGCGUGCAGGAAGACUGCCCUAUGGGUUGUAAACUGCUUUUAUACGGGAAGAAACCCACCUACGUGUAGGUGGCUGACGGUACCGUAAGAAUAAGGACCGGCUAACUCCGUGCCAGCAGCCGCGGUAAUACGGAGGGUCCGAGCGUUAUCCGGAAUCAUUGGGUUUAAAGGGUCCGCAGGCGGCCAAAUCAGUCAGUGGUGAAAUUUUCUGGCUCAACCAGGAAACUGCCAUUGAUACUGUUUGGCUUGAAUCAGUUCGAGGAUGCUGGAAUGUGUGGUGUAGCGGUGAAAUGCAUAGAUAUCACACAGAACACCAAUUGCGAAGGCAGGUGUCCAGGACUGUAUUGACGCUGAUGGACGAAAGCGUGGGUAGCGAACAGGAUUAGAUACCCUGGUAGUCCACGCCGUAAACGAUGGUUACUAGCUGUCCGGACUUCGGUCUGGGUGGCCAAGCGAAAGUGAUAAGUAACCCACCUGGGGAGUACGUUCGCAAGAAUGAAACUCAAAGGAAUUGACGGGGGCCCGCACAAGCGGUGGAGCAUGUGGUUUAAUUCGAUGAUACGCGAGGAACCUUACCAGGGCUUAAAUGCAUUAUGACAGGGGUG
rnacentral:rRNA from 1 species